CCUCCCUGCUGAGCCUGGUACAGGGACACUUCGUUCUGUGACUUUGAUUGCCGUCCCCUGAGGAUCACUGUUCUGCAGAGACAGACAUGGUCAUGCAAUUAGAAAGCUAAGGGAAAGUCCUACAGCCUCUCCCUGAAGAGGUAGAGGCAUUUCCCACUGCUCUGGACCUACACAGUGUUUAGCAGAGUUAGCCUGCAAUCUUAAGUCUAGAACAAAACAGUUUCAUUUCAACCAAAACCGAGUCACUUUCUUUCACUGAAAACAAUGGUUUAUAAGUAAUCUGACAUGACAUUUUACUUGUAAAAUCACCUAGGCAAUUGCUUGGAGAGAGUCUGUAACAACUGUAUAGGGAUGUAGUUAAAUACUACCAGGAACCACUUUUAUUCUAGGCCACUCCACACAUCCUUCAUUGUAUGACUACAAAAGUCUGUAACCUUCUUUGAAACAGCUCUCUAAUAAUGCCUGUCUUACUUGGUGUUUUCAAAUGACAAAAAACUUUAAGUGUAUAAAAUUUUCUAGUGCAUUCAAAAAAAAAAAAAAGCACCAUGCAGAAAUCUAUGGAGUCUCCUUAGACUUGCCUUUACUCCUUGACUGACUUUUAGAAAAGGAGGUACUAAGCAAGAUAGACAUUCUUCUAAAGCCAACCGGUAUUUAUAGGGAAGGUUUGUAUUAAAGUUGGAAACAUCCAGCAGGUGGGUUAAUUAUGGGGUAGGAAUAAUAAGGCUUGUUGAGCAUGCCUAAUCAAAUAUAUUUCAAAACUAUAAUGUUCGGAAUGGUUUUAGCUGUGCUGUCACUGACCAGUUUCUUGGUGUGGAUCUAGUUUCUGCUAAGAAUGAGCAAAAGCACCUCAGUAAGAAUUAACAAUAACUAUCUUGUGAAUAUGCACACCAGUGCUCUCGGGCUUGGCACUGAGGAGCCAUCUUGUGUUAGUGUAUGUGCAGAGCGAGGCUCACAGCCAGCCUGUGGAUAUCAUCACAUACUCAGAGACGGAACAGGAGUCCUCUGACACCUUCACUUUCCCUCCACACGACAUAUAAACCUUUGGCAUGAUUUCUCUGGUUAGUCUCUACCAUAUGCCAGAUUUAAGCUUCUCCAGAAUUCCCUGUUGUAGCAUCCUUCUAUGACUUCGUAAAUUCUCUUAUCCUUCAGAGGCUCCUCUCCAUGAGAGUUCUAACUCUUCUGGAACUGACACUGGAGAAACUCCUGACCUGCCGGGUUAUCUGUCUCAGUUAACUGCACCUAUUAAAAAUGUCCCUCCUUUUAACAUCUUCUGUUUGCAAAGUCUGUUGGUAUUCAUUAAAAAAAAAAAAAAGCCUGGGGAAGGAGGAGCCUCAGACUCAGUUGCAGAGUAACCAGUAAAGACCUGGCCCGCUCUGCAGAUGACACACUGAAUAACAGCUGCAUCAUUGCAUCUUCAUGACAUUUGACUCUAAGAUGAGAGCACAGAUACUGUGAGUGUGUGUUCCACACCUUUGAUGAUAAAGCAGAAGGGCCAGUAUAUAUCAUAUGAACAUUUAUUUCAUAAGGCCUCUAACUGCCCUGAAGGUCUAGAAUGUGACCUAGAGUAAGGUGAGAUCAGACCGGGGAGAAAUUCCAUACUUCUCCACACACAGAGGCUACAUCCCUCCUACUGCUGCCUCUGUGAACGUGAACUCAACCCGGGAAGACUGGAGGUUGUUAGUUUUAGGAUGAAUAGGCUGCAGCCAAGUCAGGCUCUCUAAGGCCAUGAUGCAACCAGAGUGAGAGAUUUACCACAAUUCUGAGUGUGCUACAUGAUUUAUAAUGCAAGACCCAUUUAUGUGUAACAAAGCUCUUUAUUUUUCAGUUCAUUAAACUUUUGUCCCAUACAAAGCAGUAAGCAUUCAAAUGUGAUGGCCUAUCAAGCCACACUGCCAGUCUCUUAGACUGGGAGAGGAACAUAGUGGUCAUGGAAAGUGGUACAAUAAUUUAUCAAACAAAGACUCCAUAGACAAAAGGUUUCAAGGAGUUGUUGCGCUCAUCCAUCCACUGUCUGCUGAGAGUGAUGGCAGCGCACCUGACCAGUUGGGUGUGUUUAUGUUUUACAGAGGUCAUAGAGUUUCCAGUGUGAGCUUGUUUACACUCCUGGUCUUCAUGGCAGCUACUCACUCUUUAUUCACAUGAAAGAAAUCCCUUCCUGUAUUGGGUCUGCCUUUUAGCACUUUGAUCCCAUGAGCCUUUGCUAAGUGAGCAUCAUGCCAGAGAGAGACCUGGAACACAGAGAUCCCCUCCACAGCUUGUACCAUGCAGUGAUUCUCAACUCAGUGGAAGGAGAUGACACCUACCCAAUUGACUCUUCUGUCAUCUGAAUGCAGUGAUAGUGCAGAAGGAAGAUGCUGUACCAUUUUGUAUUAGGAUUUGGGUGUAUAUGUAUUUUUGGAAUCCCAAGAGAGUCCUGGAUGCACGUAUCCAUAAAUGGCGAAAUUGAGUCUUGCUUUCUUUGUUAGCACUGAGGUCAAACCAAGGGCCUUACACGUUCUCUGCAGGUAGAGGACCACUAAGCUGCAUCAAUAACCCUGUGAAGUUUAUUCUCCUAAUUUUUAUAAACUCACUAAGUUCAUACUUAGUGAAGUCAUGGAGCCACACCAGAUUUUGACACCCCCCCCCCCGAGUUUCUACAGACCAUUUCCAUUUGAACACACCAAGAGGAUGUAUAGGUUCCUAUGGCCGUAGAGCUCACCAGAAAAUACAUGUGACAACCAGCCAACCAAUGAAUAGGGCACUGUGUUGUGUUGGUUCAUUUCAUUUCCUUCCCUUUUGCUUUUCCUAUGGCCGUAGAGCUCACCAGAAAAUACAUGUGACAACCAGCCAACCAAUGAAUAGGGCACUGUGUUGUGUUGGUUCAUUUCAUUUCCUUCCCUUUUGCUUUUGGAGUUUUUGCGACGGGAUCUCAGUCUGCCAUCCAGGUUAACCUCAUACUUACUCGUGGCGACCUUGGCUCUGCCUCCUGAGUGCCUCAAAAGCAUACACUAUCAUGCCAUACCUUAAUUCCUUUCUCGUCACUUACCAAAUGGCACUUGCCUGGCCCAUGUCCUUUUGGCGCCUAAGUGCCAGGUGUUUUCUUCUCCUCCGCUUGGCUUGCUUUCCACUCUCAGUCCUGAGGUCUUUGCUGUGGUUGGAUGUGAGCUGCGUCCCCAUUGGCUGCAAGCCUUGUCCACACUAUGGAGAUAGAGAGAACUGAUGGCACCUUCAGAGAGGGACCUGGCAAGUGGUGGCUGGUACUUGGGGCAUUGCCUUCAGUAGGAACAGCGGUAGCUCUCGGGUACUUCACUGAGACAGGUCCUCUGAAAUCCACCCUGCUACUGUGUAAGUGAUUCCUUUCAUGUCUGCUACCAUGGUGAUAGAUCUACUUCAAGGCCCUCAGUAGGGAACAAGUAGAAAGCAUCACCUAGCACUGGUGUCUGAGCCUCCGAAACUCUGAAUUGUUUCUUUCUUGGAGAGAAAUACAAAAAGAAAGAGAAGAGCUAGGUAUGGAAUGGGCAGAAAUCUGUGACAGUUACCCAGUGAACCCCAUCUUAAAUCUUCAUGUAGGACCAUGGGUGCUUUUGACAAACACAUGUAGAUAUAUUUUUAGGAGGAUCCUAGUCAGUCACGACAGACUCCUCUGUUCUGUGAUUGAUCCAUGUAAGAUAUUUUAGAUUUGUUUCUGAAACUACAGUUUAGGAAUACAUAAAAUGGAGUAUAAAGGAAAAAACUAGUUUCAUGACAAGGGAUUUCCUAACCUAGUAUAGCAAAUAGCAGAUAAAAAUGAAUACAUGAGACCAUUCUCCUCGGUCAUCACUCUUAACUUCUGUUCAUAACAUAGCUCAGACCUGUUGCUGUUACUUCAAGAAGAGAAGCAAAGAAAGAUUGAAGUGAUUAGGAUCUUACUUCUCAGAGAUGAAUGCGUAUUUAUGGAUGGAGGCCAUCCUGAGCCCCACUGUUCAAAAGCUCAACAGAAAAAAAUUCAAGUAAAAUAAGUUUAAUUUUAAAGAAGCCCAAGUCUGAAAACUCUCUUGUCUCAGACAACUCAUGUUCCUGAUUGACAGCCCAGGCUCUUGUGUGUCCCAGUGGAAAAUGCUACAGUAUGUCCAUAGAGGCCACCUCUCCAUCCUGACUCCCAGAAGCCAUAUUCACAGAGUAAUCUCCAGGGAAGAGCCUCUGUCUCGCCUAAGAGGACAGAGUCACCUCCUGUGGACACACCAGCAACUUUAAGCACAGGGGAUAUUUAAAGUGAAGGCUCCACGCCCUUAGUCCUUUCCGUUUAGAAUUAAUUUUGUGCAGGAAAUGUGAUUUUUCUCAGGCAGAUCCAUCUGUUUGUUCCCAAAAUACCUAUUUAUCACUGAUGAAAUAAGAUAAAAAUGGGGGCAGGGAGAACUUUUAAAUUUUGUUGAAGGAGUGAGUUAAUAGAAAAAAAAAUGAUGUUAGCUAGAUCGUAGGAUGGGAGAGAAGGCCUUAGAACCAUGAGCCAAGAAGAUGCAGGGCAGGGCAAGGUUUAACUCCAUGUACUGCCACCACCAUGCCUCCCUCCCUCAUCCCAAACACACUCAUACACAUUCUCACUUAUUUUUAUUUUAUAAUUCCAUCUUUUGUUCACUUCUGCUACAUCCAAACUUUAUUUUUAUAUAAAGCCAUUUUAAAAAUCUUGUUCAAGAUAAAACAAAAACCACUUUAACAUAUUGUCUAGAAAAAAAUGUUAGCAAUUAUUAGGAAGGCUUGGGGCAUAAAUCUGAGUGGAAUUAUUUUUUUCCUCCUUUCAUGAUUAAGAACUCCAAAAAAACAAAAAUGACUUUAUGCAGACCAGGUCAAACCUGCGAAUAGAUUUGGAUCUGUACUGACGACUGUUUUGCUGAGCACUGUGUAAUCAAAUGUGCCUCUUAACCUUUGGCCAUUAUAAUGAUCACCUUCAGCUGAAAACACACAUUAGCAGGCUGUAAGGAGACCAGAUCUCAUCUGACUGUGGGCAAGUUCUUGCUGACCCAAUUCAGUGUAGUGGCUGAGAUAAACAUGCCUCGAAAAUUCGUGUCUCUGUGACCUUGAAAGGUGACCCUUCUUGGACACAGUGUUUUGGGAGAUCUGAUUGGUUAGAUUAGCAUGGACCAAAGUGCAAGCAUGAAUACAUAGAUGCACAGAGGAAGAGGCCUUGGAACCCAGACAGACAAUGAGGCAGCGACAUGCUGAGAAACAGUAAGGAUACCUAAGGCCGUCAUAGAAAAGUUGUUCUUCUCUAGCGCCUUCAGGGUGAACAUGGACCUGCUGGCACCUGGAUUGUGGAAUCCUCUAGAACCCUGAGAGGAUACGUUUCUACUGUUUUCAGCCAUGAGUUUUCUGAGACUCUGUUCUGGCAGACCCAGAAAACAACUGUUUCUCAUGUUUCCGGAGGGGACUGUCAGAGCCAGGGUUCACCUUAGGACACAGGACAGGGACAAAAAUGAGUAAAGCGUUGUUCCCAAACAGUCCUCACAAAGUGGGACAGAAGGUCCAGAGGGGGCGGGGGCUUCUUUCUGUCUGUGUGUAAACCCAAUCACCUCUAUAGCUCAUUAGGGAAGAAAGGGAUUAACCAUGCAGGGCUGAGGUCUGCAUGUCCAGAUGUGACUGUCUCAGACUAAGGUUUGACUCCAAGCCCCUUGACUGGGUGUGCAUGAAGGAGGAGGCUUCCUAGAAGGGUGUGUGGUUUCUGUGUGCCCUGCUCUCGCCCAGGAGCCUUCUUUUCACUUUCUCUCCCAACAUCCUCGGAGCUCAGCUAGGAUUUAUAGAAGGCUGUAUUCAGCCAGAAGUCAUUCUGGGUUCCUGUACAGGGCAUGUGACGUGAUGCAUAUACAUCAUUCUCACUGUAACGCUCCGGCAGCUGCCUGCAGAACAUAUGCUUCCUGGGUUUUCUCUCAAAGAUGGCUGCUGCGUUUCCCAUUUAAAACAUCGCAGAUCAAUACCCUAAAGAUCCUUGGCGUGGCCAUCAUCAUCAUUUGAGAAUGAGCUCUAGGUAAAGCCUUGAUAAGCGGCCCCUUUUUUCCUCCCUUUUAAUCCAGCGACUAGCUCCAUACGACGGCGCGUUCACGUUACUCUGCGGCUGUGCUACAUUCUGUCAUGGGAACUUAGGACUUUAUCAGCAGUGGAAGUGCGCACAUGAGGCUGGCUCUGUUAACUUCCACCACUCCUGCGCCCAGGCCACCAGGUCAUUUAUUUAUUUUUAUUAUCCUAUUCCCACGUCAGCAUCUUGUCCUGAAGGACAACAAUAUACAACCCCAGUUUUUCUCAUCUAUCUUUGUGUACGCAGAAUGUUAUUAAGCCUGUCAAAGGAGCUGCACUUGUGCCUGUGCCUAUGAGUGUAAUUAAACUACACCCGCAAUUAGUCAUUUUAACCCAUAUAAUGGAUGAGCGCUUGAUCCCACGGUGCCACUAAUUCUAGAGUGACCUUGAGCAAACCCGUCACAAAGUAAUGCUGAUGAUAAUCGCACCGAGACUAGAGGCUCUGAGGACAUUAUCUUUAUCUGGUUUACUCUCUCAUUAGCCACAGGUAAGAAGAAAAAAAAUUAUUUUUUAUGUUAGUAUCAUGCCAGCAUUAUCAGCCUACUCAGAUGAAUGUUCUUUAUAUUGUAUGCACACAUGCAUAUGCUGUGCCUGGAUCAAAUCUACUCCCCAUUCUUGCCCUCCAAUCUCUCUCUUGUCUUCCUUACAUUUACCUCCCAAAUUCAUGUGCUGUCUUUUAAAGCUCAUUUAGUGUUGCCUCUAUGUGUAUGGGUUGCUGCCAUGUCCUAGAACAUGGAGACCCCCUCCAGGCCCACAUCCCUCACUUGUACUGACUCUCCCUCUCCCCACUGUAAUAAACAUCAGUAACUCCUGAGAUGUGGGUGGGGUCUCAUGAGCCCCUGCCCCAUCCAUGCUUGGCUUUUGCCGAUGUUAUAGCAAUGUCAUAACCAUGUGCAGCCCCAGCCACUGUGAGCUCACAUGUGCAGCUGCACUACCAUUCCUGUCCAUUGUUGCUCUUGCUACAAACAUUUACCUUUGGCGUAUACAAUCCUUCUCAACCCUCUUAUGUGAUGAUCUAUGCACCUUGGCAGAAGGAAAUGUGAUACAGAUGUCCUAGUUAGAAUUCAGAGCUCCAUAGUUUCAUAUUCUCUGCACAUUGACCUGAUAGACAUCUCCAUAUCAAUUGCCUUCUACCACAAAAAGAAUCGUCCUUUUAACAGAAUAAUAAAUAGUACAGUGUUCUCCCUAGUCCUGUGAUCCAGUUUCAGGGUCCCAGUUAGUGGUUCCAGGGGUUCCAUCUUAUGAGGUGGUCCUUACAUCCAAUCAGAAAAUAGUUGUCUACUCGAGUAAGUAUACCACAAUUACACUGGUAGUCAUAGCCUCGCAGGCUAUUGUUGCUGCAAUGCAGGGUUCACAGCUAUGCACUGCUCUUGAUGAGUCUCCCCUAGCAGCAUCCAAACAACCUUCCAGAACUAAGCACAUGGCCCAUAGGACUGAACCUUCAUAGUUUGAAGGUGUUGGAUGUUGAACUCUGGGCUGGCUUACCCAUCUGCACCAGGAUGUGGGUAUGGUCCAGCUGCAUGGAGCCCUCUUUACCUAGGUGCUGGGAGUGGAAAUGGAAUCUCUCUAAGUAGUAAGCAGAUAGAUACUACACUGUUUGCUCCCCCGCCCUCUUCUCCACAUCUAGACAUCAAGUGGCAGUACCUCACUGGCCAGAGGGUCUGAUGUGGGUGAGACAUGGUUUUCUUGAGUAGCAAAGAUUACCCAGGGUGAGACCAUGGAGGUCAGCGGUGAAGAACUAGGGAGGCUGAGAGCUCACAGACUAAGAGUUUGCUGCCUGGCUAGCAGCCACAUUGGUAGCAGGGCUGUGCACCCUGUCACUAGCAACUCACUUCCCUUAGCUCAGUCAGCAGAAGAUAGAAAAGUCAUUUAGACUUGCUCAGUAGCUAUGCCAAUGUAUCAUAGGCUGUGUGACUUAAGUCACGGGAUCCGUGUCCUCACAACUGUGUGCCAGUGAGCUUGUCCUUCUAAGGGAUCUCCCCUGAACUAGCAGGUCUCUGUCUUCCAUGGAUCUUCAUGGGGUCUCCUCUCAGGGCAUCUCUACCUAAAUUUUCUUUUCCUUUAAGAUCAUCCAUCAGACCAGGCUAAGAUCAAAGAUGUUAUUCUAACAAGAUUGCCUGGUUUUAAAGGCCCUGCCUUUAAACACAGUUGCAUCAUAGCAAGUCACAUAAUGUGCUUGUACAAAGGCCACACCUCUGAGAAAAAAAUGGAUAGAGAAACCAGGAGAGCCAUCAAAGCAAAGUUCAGUUUUCUCUCAGAUGAGGAGACAAGGGAAGGGGGAGGUGGACAGAGAAGGAGAGAGGAUGCCAUGAUGCAGCGGUGGUCGCUGGAAUGUCUUAGCCUGACAGAGCUCAUCAACCCACUGGAGAGUUUCUCAGCUCAGUCAUCCUUUACAGGAGCCGAGUUGCCCAGAGACGAGCUUGCCUUGUGACUGCUGUAGGUCUAUCAGUCACUGGCUCCAGCAUACAGGGGAGAUGAACCCUUGGUGUGAAGGCAGACACAGUGAUGGAUUUCAGGGCACAGCAGACAGAUACUAUGAGUGAGUGACACUCCUUCUUCUGUAGUCUAGGAGUGCGCUCUCCUGGAGCCGACACCAGCAUUUCCAUUCUCUGUGGACUAGCUGCACGAAGUUCCAAUGUGUGAUCAGGACGUUGCCUCUUGUGAAAGUCGAACAAAAGAAUGGUGAAGCUCUGCAGCUGCAGAGGGAGACUUUAGACACAGCCCAUCUGAGCACCUACCCCACAGCUUGAAGGUACAGAGGCUCUGACUGGGAAGCAGGAGGCUGAUGGAGAAAGAGGCACUUUGCCGCUCACCUUCCAAUCUUCUUUCUUUUUCCUUGGAAAUUCACUGAGCUGUGAAGACUUAUUCAGGAGACUCCACAAGGCAAGGAGCACAGAGACCCAUAGAGAUCCAAUUCUUCUGGCCUCGGAGUAAGUCUCACCAUCGCUUCGUAUCAAUGACCAUGAGUUCUUAGAAGAAAGUACCUUUUAUCGAUGAGGGAAAAAAUUGGUCCAACCAUCUGAAUUAUUGUGCUUUCAAUAACAGCCUCCUUGCUCUGACUCUGAACAUUAGGUCCUGGUCUACUCUAUGAGCAUCACACGUGACCCAAGAAUUGCCUCUUCACAUCCCAACUUAAAUGGCUGCCAUUCAUAGGCCUCCCACAACAAAUUGAGGCUUCCUUGACCCCUUUCAAAGCUUCCCUGCCUUUGAUGACUACGUGCCCAGUGAAACCCAGCCACAUCAUAAGCUGCAUUGCCACAUAGCUGAGGAUCAUGACUGAGGUCACCAAUUCAUUCUCCCUAAAAUAUCAUCAUUCACCCGGCAAAUGCCUAGCUCAGUGACCAACAACGUGGCUGAAUCGCUGGAUGUACCUUCAGUGGCUGCUGUGCUAUAUGCCUGGUAACUGCUCUGCUCCCAUUCUCACCAAUGCAAGGACAUUUGCAAGUUUUCUGUUUGCUCAGAAGAUCUUCCCAAUGAGAGAGAGAGAGAGAGAGAGCUGCAUGACCUCAUGUUUGCACAUGAGAGCCAUGUCUUGGUUAUUGCUAUAUGAUUGCCUGUUUUCCAGUGUGAGUGUUUGUGGUCUAUCCACUAAAAGGUCUACUAUAUCAGUUAGUUCUAAGGAGCCACAGAAUGCUUUUUUUUCCUGUAACACAACUAUCUCUGCCCUCUCAGCUCAUUUGUAUUACUCUUGGUUCUUUAUUCAGUCAUCUGCCUAAUUUGAAGGAGACCAUUGGACCUUACCAACACAGACUGAAAACCAAUAAAUGGCACCACUACAGUGCUUUAGGAACCAAAUCUAUGUUUCUUUCCAAUUAAAAUUAAAAAUAAACUUGAAUGCUUAAGUGACUAGUCCUGGAUGUCAGAGCAGCAAACCUCCAUUCACCACGAUUCAAGCCUGCAUUCCAAGAGUCUAAAUAGGAAGCUCUUCUCAUGGUGCCUUGACCAUGGAAUCAGCUGGCAACACUCAACGCUGAAGUCAGCCAGAUAAAUGCUAAAUAGAUAGCUUAGCUAACUUUGAUGGGGGUCUCUUGUUCCACAUACAUAUAAAACGAAUUUCUAAGAUGUGUCAAGGACAUUGCUAGGUAACAUUAAAACAAAGACUAAUUCAACAUGAUAUUUGUGGUUUGAAAGACUCAAGGAAGUUUGAGUCUUGGUGAAUAGUGAGUAUACAUAAUGCCAUAAUUAAGGCCUUCGUAGUAUUGUUGAAAUUCCCUGGCUUAGGGGGCAUAGAUCACCCUAAAGAACACUAACUAACAAGACUCCAAGGUGGUGUUUCUGGGUAUGCAGAGCAGAGAUGGGCUAAAAGAAGAGGGGAGUCUGCUUUUCAUGUCUUGGAAUGGGCAAAGAGCUCAGUAUGGCUAUCUAGGAUAUGGUUAAUGAGGAGGGCGCCGAAAAAAGGGAAAGUAUCUGAUGCCAACGUUAAGAGUUCAAGAUAUGGGCACAGGGGAAAAAUUCCUGAACAGAACAGCAAUGGCUUGUGCUGUAAGAUCGAGAAUCGACAAAUGGGACCUAAUGAAACUCCAAAGUUUCUGCAAGGCAAAAGACACCGUCAAUAAGACAAAAAGACCACCAACAGAUUGGGAAAGGAUCUUUACCUAUCCUAAAUCAGAUAGGGGACUAAUAUCCAACAUAUAUAAAGAACUCAAGAAGGUGGACUUCAGAAAAUCAAAUAACCCCAUUAAAAAAUGGGGCUCAGAACUGAACAAAGAAUUCUCACCUGAGGAAUACCGAAUGGCAGAGAAGCACUUGAAAAAAUGUUCAACAUCCUUAAUCAUCAGGGAAAUGCAAAUCAAAACAACCCUGAGAUUCCACCUCACACCAGUCAGAAUGGCUAAGAUCAAAAAUUCAGGUGACAGCAGAUGCUGGCGAGGAUGUGGAGAAAGAGGAACACUCCUCCAUUGUUGGUGGGAGUGCAGGCUUGUACAACCACUCUGGAAAUCAGUCUGGCGGUUCCUCAGAAAACUGGACAUAGUACUACCGGAGGAUCCAGCAAUACCUCUCCUGGGCAUAUAUCCAGAAGAUGCCCCAACAGGUAAGAAGGACACAUGCUCCACUAUGUUCAUAGCAGCCUUAUUUAUAAUAGCCAGAAGCUGGAAAGAACCUAGAUGCCCCUCAACAGAGGAAUGGAUACAGAAAAUGUGGUACAUCUACACAAUGGAGUACUACUCAGCUAUUAAAAAGAAUGAAUUUAUGAAAUUCCUAGCCAAAUGGAUGGACCUGGAGGGCAUCAUCCUGAGUGAGGUAACACAUUCACAAAGAAACUCACACAAUAUGUAUUCACUGAUAAGUGGAUAUUAGCCCCAAACCUAGGAUACCCAAGAUAUAAGAUAUAAUUUGCUAAACACAUGAAACUCAAGGAGAAUGAAGACUGAAGUGUGGACACUAUGCCCCUCCUUAGAUUUGGGAACAAAACACCCAUGGAAGGAGUUACAGAGACGGAGUUUGGAGCUGAGAUGAAAGGAUGGACCAUGUAGAGACUGCCAUAGCCAGGGAUCCACCCCAUAAUCAGCAUCCAAACGCUGACACCAUUGCAUACACUAGCAAGAUUUUAUUGAAAGGACGCAGAUGUACCUGUCUCUUGUGAGACAAUGCCGGGGCCCAGCAAACACAGAAGUGGAUGCUCACAGUCAGCUAAUGGAUGGAUCAUAGGGCUCCCAAUGGAGGAGCUAGAGAAAGUAGCCAAGGAGCUAAAGGGAUCUGCAACCCUAUAGGUGGAACAACAUUAUGAGCUAACCAGUACCCCGGAGCUCUUGACUCUAGCUGCAUAUAUAUCAAAAGAUGGCCUAGUCGGCCAUCACUGGAAAGAGAGGCCCAUUGGACUUGCAAACUUUAUAUGCCCCAGUACAGGGGAAUACCAGGGCCAAAAGGGGGGAGUGGGUGGGCAGGGGAGUGGGGGUGGGUGGAUAUGGGGGACUUUUGGUAUAGCAUUGGAAAUGUAAAUGAGUUAAAUACCUAAUAAAAAAUGGAAAAAAAAAAAAAGAGUUCAAGAAGGGACAUCUGGAAAAAGUCUCUUUAUUUUGUAGACUACCAGAAACCAUGAAAGCAUGGUUAGAAGUUAGAGGUACCAUAUUCCCUGUGUUGUGUAAAUGCAGCUAUGUGCACAGUUGGAAGGUGGAGCAGAGAGAUGAGCAAGGACCUCAAGAGGUGGAUAAGGAGGCUGGUUGAGAGCAGGUAGGACCUAAGAGAGCACCGACCCUACUUGCUUCUCCUGGACUAUACCCUAGAAGUUAUAAGAAUCGCUUGAGUCAGAUGUCCUGUUUUUGAUGUUGAUAUGAGGUAGGUUCAGAUAUCUACAGGUCAGGUAUUGGAAAGACACUCCAAUCUAGAUCUGUUUGGAAAGUCACUUGCUGUUUGAUCUUGAACCACUGCAGUAUCCACAUUUUUCUCCAUUUCUAAAGGAUGAGCCAGUGAUGUACAUAUCACAGCCCUACCCUCAAGACAAAGAAAUUCAUGCAAGCAGGGCAUGGAAAGACUAUGUAUUUUUUUUUAUAUUCCCUUCCAAAUUAUCACUUACUUUAUAUGACAACAUAUAACAUCUUCACCACAUUGGUAUGAAAUCCAAUUAUUCUGAGUAUUUUAUUAGCAAUAAGGAAAUUCUUGCAUUUAUUGCAUCACUUGACAAGUUAAAACUGUUUGACUGGUGAGUAGAUGAAUUAUCCAUGUGGUUUGUCCAGCAACCCCUUCUGGUAAAUUGGAGAUAAAUGUGUUACUUUUUCUAGGGAUUGAAUGGGGAUAGAGUGGGAUGUAUUCUUAAUUCAGCAAAUGUGGGUAAAUAGCGUGCACUGUGCUAGGCACUGUGCUAGACCCUACUGGCAUUACUGUCAAGAAAGACACGCACAUGCACAGGCACACACACACACACACACACACACACACACACACACACACACACACAAACAUACACACACACAAGCAGUAAGUGGGACCAAGUGUAAAAUGGGACCCUGAAGGAACAUAGAUUGGAUUCAACCCAGUUGGGGAAUAAAGGACAUUUUCCUAUUGUUUACCAUGCUAAGGACUUCAAGUUUGACCAAAUGCAAAACUGAAGAUCUUGGAGAGGACUUGUACUUCGUUGUGUGUUUUCCAAGAAUCACGGCAGUAGUCCCAUGGAGCUUCCAUGGGAAGCAAGGUAGGAAGAAGAGCAGAAAGACUGUAUGAGAGACAGCAGGUGGUGGGUGGGUAAGGCCAUGGAGGAUGAGUGGUGGCUAGCUGUGGAGCUGCAGCUGACGGUGACAAUUGGAUGAGGUUUUGUGGGAAAGAGUCAAGAAUUAAAAGCUCAACUGACGGAUAUCCUGGCAUGUGACAGAGUAGUCAUUAGGGAAACACCCAAAUCAGUCAGUCUUUGGUUAACACCUCCAGUCUCAACCCUAUGUCUCCUCACAUGUACCCUCUACCCUUCCAUCUUCUGUCCUUCUCCCUUCUCUCAGAUUGCUUCCUCCCUCCCAUCUUCUCUUCUAUUACAUUUCUUGAUUGUGGUAGCCACAGACACACCUUGGAAGGUCUGUGUUUUCCUCAUAUUAUUUCUUUUCCGUUGGUCACUAACUUAAUCCAUGGCUUCCAUGGCAAAUUUCACAACUAAAGGGAAAAGAAGAAAGGGCCGGUUGUCUUUGUGCAGGCUUCGAUGACAAAAUACUUUCACUUGUGUCAUUCAAAAACAACAGAACUUUGUCCCUCUGUCCUGGAGGCCAACAUGUUCACUAUCUCAGUAUGGUUGCUUUCUGCAUCAAGCAUGAUGCCUUCUUGCUGUGUCUUCACAUGGGAGAAAGGGCAAACAUGUUCUCCAAGCCUGUUUUAUAAGAACACUGAUGCUAUUGAUGAGGGUUCCACUCUCCACCUAAUCUCCUCCCAGAAGCCUCACCCCUGAACACCUUCACCUUGGAGGUUAGUCUCAGCAUAUGAAUUUGGGGUAGGGUAAGGGAUAACACAAGAAUCCAUACCUUUGCAUUGGCCAAUGCAACUGUAGACAUAGAUGGUGUUCUGUGACCCACUUCCAAAAUUCAGAUCAAAUGGAGAGUGAUGGUGCAUCUCCCCUGCUUGUAACUUCAUGGAACUGCAGUGAGCCAUGUAGAAAAUACCCAGGGUUGCUAAAGAGUGUGAGCUAUGAACACACAACCUGUCAGAUGUGUCCAUGUGCACCAAAAGACAGGGAACUGUUGCUUUGAAGGCUGUAGCAGUUUGUAAUUUCUUUGAACUUGGAAUAGCCUAAUGCUGUGUGUUUGAUUUUUGUUCAGAUUCUACAAAAAAUUAUUCCACAUUGAGUGCUUGUGAUUAAUGUUAAAGUGGCACAGUAUGUUUCUCGGGGAUUUUAGCAAAUUAUCAGAUUAGGUGAAGUCUUUCAGUGCCUCUCAGAAGCAGCCACAGCCUGUGCAUUUGUAUGGCACAUAAGAAUCUUCUGGCAGUAUACAUUUUAAACAAACACAAAAAAAUCCACCUACUGUGUCUUCUUGUGGCUGUGUUCUUUACUGGUCAACAGAUCUCUAAAACUUUUCCAUUUUAGUACUCAUAAAAGAAUUUGUCAUCAGGGCAAUUAGAUUAAGAUGAACUCUAAGAAAACCCUGAGUUUCUGGCUUCUGUUUUCUAGGUUAUUGCUACACCACACUGAGGUCUUGGUGUGGUUUAUGCCCAGCUUCCAAGAAUUAUAAUUAUCUACAAAGAACAGUGAGGACAUGACAGGGAGACAUACCCUAGGCUGAGUGUCAAGAGCAAACACCUUCUCUUUUGUUUUUUCAGUGUUUCUUGAAGAGAAAAAAAAUGAUUAAAUGUAUAAUUUCAAAUAAAAUAUUCGUUUAUAUUUGUAUUUGCUCAAAACCAAGGGUGGUGAAAGAACUGAGACCCCUUAGAUGGUAGCAUUUGUUUGGCGUUGCCUCAGCUUAACCAUAGAACUCAGCUCUUGAUGGCCAUCCUGUGACCUGCUUACAGUAAUGCUUUGUAGAUUCUCAAAGUGUCUUUGCACCCGACCUUUUGACAGAGCUGUUAUAAUCCUUGAAUUUGCACAGCACAACUCUUUCCGCGGGCCACAGCAGUAAAAUGAGAUGAUGCCCCCUGAGGUCCCAUUAUCCCACACUCACACUGAGUGCCAGCCAUCUGGUGGCAGUAAACUGGGAGGAGCUACUCUCAGGUAUUACCUAGAACUGGUGAGAUUCUUGCACAGAUUGAGUUGCUGCUGCAAGAGGCAACUAAAAGUCCUAACGACCAUCUCCCAUCUUGUUGCUCAGAGCUUCUAAAAUGCUCCCAUGAGAAGAAACAGAAUGCUCAUCCAAUAUCCAUUAAGUAAGUCCUUGCACAGAAAUGUUAAAAUGGGCCUUUAUGUAACAUUGCACAGCGAGUCUCAGGCUUUAAGGAGCUGUCGUGACAUGUUACUGAAGACCAGGCUCACAGAAUGCACAGUGUGAUAGCCACAGAGUCCUGUGCUACAGAAGUACAAGAGGCUUGCUUGAUUUCUCUGCUUGAAACUGAUCAUGUUUGAUAUUAUGGUGUCCACCAUGGCUCUUCCUGAGAAACUCUGAGAAGGUCUUAUUUUCAGGCUCAACUAGUUGCUGACCAAAUUCACUUCCAGGCAGCUGCUGAUUCUGGUGGCUGAGCAGGAGUUGCUCUAAGAUCCUUGAGGCCACCAUUGUGUGCCUUGUUCCUUUAACCUAUAAGUCACCAUGGUGGCCCUCCUGCAUCCUGAUUCACAUCUUUUCUGUUCCCCUUCAUCUACAGCUCUCACUCCCAGCUCUUUUGGUCUCCUCUGCAGCUUGGAAGACGUUUGGGUGGCUACACAGAUCCUGGCAGAACCGUCUUCUAGGCACCUCUACUACCAUGCCUAGAUGUUCAUUUCAUUCUGCAAGGAGCUGGAAAUCUCAGAGCUACAUCUUUAGAGUUUCCCCUUCCAUGAAGAAGGAAAAGUCCACAUGAACCUCAUGGCAGCCUUGCUUUUGAGAGUCAGAGACUAAAUCGCUCAUUGGCUUUCCCAACGUUCUGUAAAACAUGUUACUUAUUCUAUAGUGUUUCAUAUAUGGAUUCAAUGAAUUUAGGUUGUUUCCACUCCCAACCCUGCUUUCCCAACUCCUUCUAGACUCUCUACCUACCCCUAACCACAUGUCUUCUUAUCCUCUUCCUCUCCUUCCUUUUUUUCUUUAUCUCUUUAGCAUUCCGUGGAGUACUUGGUACUGCCCUUCUAAGUGUGGAUAGAGAGUGCUAUCCAUUGCUGCUUGGGCAACCUUCUGUGGGCUAUAUCUCUGAAGAAAACUGAGCCUCUCUUCCCCCAUAGCCAUCAUUUGCUAAUUGUUCCUCAACUCUUUCCUGCUCUGAGCUGGAGUGCCCAGUUCUUAAGUAGAAAUUCAGACCAGUUUAUGAACUUAAAGCCCUACAUGGUGCUUGUAAGAAUGUAAUGCUAGACUCCAGCUGCUGUUCCCACCAUGAUACUUACAGAUACUGACAAGCACCUAACUAAGUUGUCACCUAGCAAUCCCUAGCCAACAGACUUCUCAGGGAAGUGAGUUAACACCAAAGGUGAUUGGUAUGAUAACUACAUAUCCUGCUUCCCUGCCCUCUUCCCUGACUCUAACCUGGAAAUUGGAAAGCCUGGCUUCAGGCUUGGGAUGUGCAAUUUCCUUCAAAUUCAGAAGUGAUAAGAAGAGACUCCCCCAUCUGCCAUGGGGGCUCUGGAGUCUCUCUGCAGAGACUCUAUCAUGUUGUCUGUCUCUGGUGCUAGGGCCAAAACUGUCCUCAGAGGCUCCACCAUGCUGUUGUCUGUCUUUCCAUCUGCCCAUGAUAUUACUAACUCAUCUAAUAAACUUUGUACACAAUAGUCCAUCUCAGUGUUCCCUCUAACCUCCAUCUGAGCCCCUUCUGGACUCUUCUUUACAAAAUCAUACUCCUGCUUCUAGAAAGUUCUCCAGAAGAAAAAUUAACAUAGUUCAAUAAUUAAAAUUAAAAGUAUAUCCUUUCUCUUUCAGGAACAAGAGAUCCAUGUUAUUUUUGUUUUCCUGGGUUGUCUGUGCAAUGUUCUCUUACAUGGAGCACAAAUGUACUCAAGAACUUUUUGCCUCUUUGUUCUCCUUUCUUUAUCCUCAAACACAGGGUAGACAAUACACUCUCUACAGUGUGAACUUGUCAUUAGCUAAAACUUCAAAUUGUUUCCAAAGGGCAGUGUUCACCUCGCAGAACUACCCAAUUGUCUCUAGCCCAUCUACUGGAAGCUGGGUUUUCUACCUGUUGUGACAUUCUUUUGUCCACAUAACACCACCAAAUGAGUUUCCGAACUUGUAUCGCAGUUUAAGAAUUUUCAGACAUGGGUAUAUUUCUAAGAAAAUAAAGGAAAGAUACAUUCCAUAUUUUUAAAAUUACUUCUGUCUUGGACACAGCUUUUAAGCUCUUUUGAUCCAGUGAAGUUCUUAUUAGCAUUUUUACCAUAAAUUAAAGAGUACCCACCCUCCUCCCUGCAGAGAAGAAGAUUGGCCUAGUUAAUUUAGGCUGCCACAGCAAAGUGUGUUGACAGGUUAGCUUAUAAACAACAUAAAUGUGUCACAACUGUGAAGGCUUGGCAUCUGAAACCAGAGGACAAACAUGGAUGGAUUCUUACAAGUGUGUUGUUCCAAAAACACAUGGUGGUUUUUCCUCUGUCAUCUCAAGGUAGAGAAAUAGCUAGCCAGAUCUCUGGAGUCUUCUUUAUAAGAGGAAUGAUUCAGUUACAUACGCACCAUGCUUAUAACCUAAUGGACAGCAAAGGUGUCACCUUCUAAAAUCAACACUUUGAGAGAAACUCAACAUUUGAAUGUUGUGAGUCCACUGCCAACAACAAAAAUUCACAGGAAGAGGACACAACUGGGCGUGGCCUGGAAUAACAGAACAUGGGACUUCCACUGCCCAUCUCCUACCCUGGGGGUUAGUUCUCCCACUGUGCCAUGCAGGGCAAAAACCCUGAAAAGUCAUGUUAGGGAAAUGCUGAGGUCAGCAGUUAGGAGUGGGACUGGGUAAGAUCCAGAAGCACUCACGGUUCUUUUUUCUGAAGAUACGUUCAGGGUUCUUGUGGUUGUUAUUGGUAUCCAAUAAACUUGUAGUUUGUGAUCAAAGCAAUCAUGAAAAUAGGAAACAGACCCGGAGAGAAACUUAACCUCUAGAUACAGCGUUUAAAAAAAGAACAACAACAACUUAGGUUUCCCACAUUUAUCAAUUCCUUGAAGUACAGUUUGUUAAAAUUUCCUUCAAAUAAAUAAAUUUAAAAUCCAUGACCACAUACAGGGAAUUAGGUAAAGAACAGAAAUGAAAGAUAGAAAUAGAAGUUAAAAGGCCACCGUUUGUAUCUAUUAGAUAGUAUCUAUCUUUCCAGAGCGCCAGAUGCUGAGAGUCUUCAAACCAGAGCCUGACACCACCUACCAGGCAAGUGGCUGGUUCCCCGUGGUUCACUGUUGGUCACUAGUGCUCUUCUGCUCUUCAGAAGAUUCAGGAUUAAAGCUGGAUAUAGACAAGUAGACCUUUAAUCCCAGCAUUUGGGAAGCAGAGGCAGGUGGAUCUCUGUGAGUCUGAGGCCAGCCUCAUCUACAUAGUAAGUUCCUGGACAGGUGGGGCUAUGUAGAGGGACCCUGUCUCAAAAACAAAAACAAAAGCAAGCAAACAACAACAAAACAAAUAGAUCCAUGAAGGGUUAUUAAUAGCACAACGACUUGGAUGAUACUGUCAUUUGAUGCUUAUCUUCCUGGAGGCUCAGUGAAGUUAAUAUAGAAUGUAUAACUUCAGUGUUUCUGUCUAUGCCACGCACAGCUGUGUCAUCAAAAGCAACAAGCUAUAGUUUAUUCUUGAACCAGAUAUCAGUGACCAUGACCCUGGAAACAUAGAUUCACAUUGCCUGAAUACCAUGUUCCAACAUGGAAAUGGUCUCAUGAGGCUUUUACAGUUACAGAGCAAAAGAGACUCACAAAUCAAACCAUUUUCUAAACUCAAUAGUGUGGGAGCAUCAAGUUACUCCAAAGGGGAGAAAUCCCCAUAUAGGCUGAGAUCCUGUCGGAGGGUAGGUAGUCUUAGCUUUGGGGUUGACGAUCUACCAAGUUAACACAUUUGAAAUGGUCCUACCUGACAUUUACAAGGGUUUUCGAUCACAGAGAGAAAGGGCAAUGAAUGGCUGUUGGGAGGGUAAUCAUAGCCCGGGAUAACCUGACCCUGCAUCUGUAACACGGCAAUGCAAUGCAAUCACAGUUCCAAAGAGUCAGUGUCCUAGCUUCAUGUCUGUUGCUGUGAUAAAAACACGAGCCUAACUGAGAGGGGAAAGGAUUUGAAUGGACCACAAUUCCAGCCUAUGGUUAAUCACUGAGGGAAAAGUGAAAGCAAGAUUCUGGUCACACCACAUUCACAGUGAAGAGCAGAAAGAAAGAAUUGCAUGCAUACUCAUUUGCCCCACUCGUACAGAGUUCAGGACUCCUCACCUAGGGAAUGCCUUUGCCCGAUGGUCUGGGUCUUCCCACAUCGAGUGAUUUAGUUAAGGCAAUGCCUCACAAGUAUGCUCACAGGCUAGCUGGAUCAAUGUAGAAAAUAAUUAAGACUCUUCCUAAAUGACCAUAGAUUAUUUCAAGUUGAAAAUUGAAGACAAUCAUUGGAGCACUGUAGAAUCUUCAACACAGGUGUAGGUUUUGCUGGGAACUUCAGUUUCCUUGUGCUAGCAUAUUAAUUUACAUACCUAUGCAUGUGAAUAUUAUAUACUUGUGUGUGUGUGUAAAUUUCAAAUUUUCUGAUAUCUCUUAUGAAACCAUAUCUGUCUGAUGAUUAAUCUGAAUUAGCAGAAAGGGAAGAAAAUGCUUUCUUUUAUCAAUCUUUGAACUUAUUUGCUUUGGACCUUGACUUUUUUCAUUAGCUGUUGCUGCACUUACAACCGGGCCACCAAUGGCUCUUUUUAAACCAUGGUCUACGUGCUUGCUUCCGUGGGGUAUGUACUACAGAAAGGCAGAGUCGCCAGAUCUGUAGUUAACACAGUGGCUUCCUCACGUGAUAUACCCUGGCUUCCAAGCCCAUCCCACACAUAUAAGUAAAACUCUUUGUAAAUUUGUGUAAUCAAAGAAGGCGGGCACUGUCUGGAAGAUGAAGUACGUGGAGACACACCAUAGUCUAGCAGUGCUCACCAAAUGAGCAAAUGCUAGAAAGUACAGCUUGUGCGCUUAGUAGAGUCAGAUAGGAAAGUACUAUGAACAGUGUGGGCGUGUUUGGGGAGCACACAGAACCGCAGGUACAAUUAGGUACCCAGCUAAUGGUUUUAGCCACAGAGCUUUCGUGUUCUUAUCCCUAUGAUUUCCCUGUAAUUUAGCCCCAUGGAAAACUUUUAGCAGACAUUUCAUGGGGCAGUUAACUCCGUGGCAACCAUCUAGUCUAAUUGGAAUCAUGUAGUUAAAGCCCCAGGUAGUACUUGAGAGUGAAAGGGGUGUCUUUCAACUCAGGUAACUGUGGUUUUGCUUUGGGCUUCCCUGGAACAAUGUUCCCUGAUGCAUGGCUGACUGCAGAAGGCACAUACCCAGGCAGCCUUAAAAGGGACAGUGUUUAAUCAUCAGCGAAAGAAGAGCUCGUCCAUCUCCCCCUGAUGCUUGUCAUUUAUGAGCAGACCUGGGGGCCCUGGUGGACCUCAUGCAGUAGUGAUGGCUCUGAGGACAGAGUGGCAGCAGGGUUCUCUGCUGGCCACCAUAGGUAGCUGGUCCUUGGCCACUGAAGCAUUCUGUCCCCGCAGCUCUGCAAAGCAAUUACCAAAGACCUCGUCGUCUUGAUUUAUAAAGAAAUUGCCUUCCUCAGGGGAAGACCAUCAGGCACACAGUAAUCCAAACAGCUAGACUAUGCUAAUCCCUUAAAAAUUAAGGAAACUCCAUUCUCAGGAAACAGGUCUGGCUGGGCCCUGAUGAGGUGCCAUUUGUACUCAGCUGUGGAAAGAGAAGAGAGGCAGAGAAAGAAGUCAGGAGCUUUAAGUCAAUUUGGCUCCCCAGUGAAAUAGGCAGAAGUGUGGCUAAUCCUAGCAUAGUUAAUAUUGCUUGUUAUGUAUGCCUGGUAUUUCAGAUAAUGCUUUUUAAAACUUUGAUCAUUUUUAAUUAGCACACAAAGUAACAGCUUUUUUAUGGAAUUUUUGUACAUAAGUUUUUGGCUGAUCCUCCUCUCAUCUUAUCCCAAAUCCGUCCUUCCUGUGUCUUUGCAUCUCUGGGGGCCUCAUUUGUGUUCUCAUGUCAUGUGUGUUCAGUUGUAAACACAUACAUGUGUGCAUGCCUCCUUACAACCUUUUUUCCCUUGUUUAGAUUCAUGAGCUACACCCCACACUUACACUGACACAGUGCGCGUGCGCGCACACACACAAAUAUUUGAUAUUAGAAGCAAAGAUCUAUAUUGGAGAGAGAAUAUGCAGUAUUUGUCUUCCUGAGACUGAGUUAUAUUACUUAGCAUAAUGACUUCCUUCCAAGGUGACCCCAUUUCCUAAGAACUUCAUAAUUUUACCAUGCUUUAAGGCUGAAUAAAAAUCAUAUAUAUAUGUAUAUGUGUGUAUAUAUAUAUAUAUACAUACACACACAUAUGUACCUUUACUGACUAUUCUUCUGAUGAUGGACAGAUGGACAUCUGGUAUUGUAGCUACCUUACUAUUGUGAAUAGCACUAAAGUCCACAUACAUAAGCAGGUGUCUUUGAAAUAGGACAGGGAGUCACUUGACAGUAUGUCCACAAGUGUUGCAUGUGAUAGUUCUAAUUUUUGCUUGCUAAGAAAUCUCCAUACUCACUAGUAUAGUGGCUAAACUGGUUGGCACUCAGGCCAGCAGUGAGGAGGGAUUCCUCCUACCACAUUCAUGGCAGAAUUAUUUGCCAUUUAUCCCCCUCCCUUUUUGUGAAAGACAUUCAAACUGAAACGUGAUGGAGUCUUACAGUACUUUCAACAUCGAGUUUUCUGAUGUCUAAGGACACUAAACAACUUCCUAGAUGUUUGCUGGAUAUUUGUGUUUCUUCUUUUAGUGAACUGUUCAGUUCCUUAGCUCAUGCAUUGAUAGUUUGAGGUCAGCGGUAUUUAACUUUGCAUUUUUUAUAUAUAGUCUAGAUAUUCACCUCCAAUCUAAAGGUAGCUGGCCUAGGUUCUCCUCUGUUCUUGAGGCUAUCUGAUCGCUCUUCUGACAGUUUCUUUUGUGGUGCAAACUCUUUGCAAUUUCAUAUGCAGAAGCUUUGUGGUUUCAUGUCAUCCCCUUUCCUGGCUGCUGAACUCCUAGUCGAAAAGCUCUUGCCUACAACUCUAUCUUGACGUGUCUCGCCUGUCCUCCUCUAGCAGUUUCUUCAUUUCUACUGAAAUGUAGGUUCUCUGUUCUUCAUUUCAUUUCUUUCAUGUUCUCUGUUUCUUCAUUUCAGCUGAAAUGUAGGUUCUCUGUUCUUUUGGAAUUGAGAGAGAGAGAGAGAGAGAGAGAGAGAGAGAGAGAGAGAGAGAGAGAGAACAGAGGGA